rnacentral:lncRNA from 1 species
UCCCGCAAACAAUAACAAGCACCGCCGCAUAUCCAACGCUGCAAAGUAACCAGGCAAGCUCACCCAGAUGUACCCGAAACCUUCUAUGGCACCAUGUUACUGCAAGUCUCUGAGAUACAAAGUUCGAGAUUAAUUGAUCUAACCGGCCACAUGAGCAAAGAUAAUCCAUUUAUUGGGUAAUACAUGUUUUUUUUGUGUUUUUUGAUGUAAUGUUCUUUGAGAACUGAAAAGGAAUUUUGAAACUUGGGGAUGAGAGAGAGAGAGAGAGAGAGAACACUAAACUAUCUUAUCGCGACACCACGGAGAUGUAAAGAAUUAACAGUUAGACUCAUUAAGCACUACACUCGAGCUAAAUCAAACUUGGGCAUACCCUAACAACAGACACGAAAUCAGUCGAACCUUAAAUAUUGAGCAGAUACGCCCAUGCAAGUCUAAAACUUGGCCAAGCCCUUCCAGCACAACAGGCAACAAUGGAGUCCAUCAAGCGAUCAAAUUGCCACUUUUGGACUCCAGAAAAGAAAAAGGAGGAAGAAGAAGAAGUAGAAGACAAC